UACGUAGGGUGCGAGCGUUACUCGGAAUUACUGGGCGUAAAGCGUGCGCAGGCGGUUUUGUAAGCCAGAUGUGAAAUCCCCGGGCUUAACCUGGGAAUGGCAUUUGGGACUGCAAGGCUUGAGUGCGGCAGAGGAGACUGGAAUUCCUGGUGUAGCAGUGAAAUGCGCAGAUAUCAGGAGGAACACCGAUGGCGAAGGCAGGUCUCUGGGCUGACACUGACGCUCAUGCACGAAAGCGUGGGGAGCAAACAGG
rnacentral:rRNA from 1 species